CGUAUAACCACUAAAUCGCCAUGUUCAAAAUCGCCAAAACGUCCAAUAACACCCUCAAAACAUCCCCAAAAAGAGCUUCAAAAAAAUGGCCGCUAAAAUUUAAAAAAUAAGCCAAAAAACCUUUUUGCAUCAAUAUGAAUUUACAAGAUUAUUCCAGGAUACCAAAUAUUCAAUUUAAAAAAACCCAAAAAAACAAUGAUGUAAUUGUCUAUUUGGGCUAUGAAUAUUUAAUCAAGGGCAAUGGUCAAAAUUACAUUUACCUAAUAUGUAGAUGUAAAUGUGGGGGUCGAGCCAAGCUUUCACUAGUAGAUAUUGUUGUUACAAAACAACAUAUUGACACUUGUAAAUAUGCAACAGUAUCAAGGCUCCCUAAUUCUUUGCAAUCAAAUAAUAAUCCUAUCCCCCAAAUACCUCAAAUUAGG